AAAUAUUACCUUUGAGUCUAACAGCAAACAAUCUGUCAAGAUCAAAACAAGAGAGAGGAACUAUGAGACAGAUCUUUUCGGAUUGAGCCCACAUAUAAAAAAGAAAACAUGUCAGAAUGAGGACAGCAGGAACAUAUAAGAUCAUGAAAUGAAGCUUCAGUUGCAUGUCAGAAUGACGUCACUGGAAGAUCUGCAUUCUUGACGUGUUGACAGUGAUGAUAAAAUGUAUUGAGACACAAUGACAGCAGGAAUGUGUGAGGCUUCAGAAAAUGUUAAAUAUGUGACUAUAAGAACUGUGGCAAGAUGCAUGGAGAAAUGAACAGAAUAUAUUAUGAAACGUUUUAGAGACUUGUGAAAAAAUGCUGUAAAGUGAAAAACAAUGUCAUAACAUAUUUAUUUAUUUAUUUAUUUUAUGCUCUACUGAUCACCCUUUUUAAACAGCUUUUGUCAUACUUUUUCUUAUUUUGUGAGAAUACUCACAUGCACAUUACUGUAUAUUUCCAUACACUGAAUAAGACAGAACACUGAAUAAAUAUGACUGUAACAGUUA